rnacentral:rRNA from 1 species
AACGGACAAGUAAGAGCUUGCUCUUAUGAGUUAGUGGCGCACGGGUGAGUAAUGUAUAGCUAAUCUGCCCUACACUAGAGGACAACAGUUGGAAACGACUGCUAAUACUCUAUACUCCUCUCUAGCAUAAGUUAGAUAGGGAAAGUUUUUCGGUGUAGGAUGAGGCUAUAUUGUAUCAGCUAGUUGGUGAGGUAAUGACUCACCAAGGCUAUGACGCAUAACUGGUCUGAGAGGAUGAUCAGUCACACUGGGACUGAGACACGGUCCAGACUCCUACGGGAGGCAGCAGUAGGGAAUAUCGCUCAAUGGGGGAAACCCUGAAGCAGCAACGCCGCGUGGAGGAUGACACUUUUCGGAGCGUAAACUCCUUUUGUUAGGGAAGAACAAUGACGGUACCUAACGAAUAAGCACCGGCUAACUCCGUGCCAGCAGCCGCGGUAAUACGGAGGGUGCAAGCGUUACUCGGAAUCACUGGGCGUAAAGGACGCGUAGGCGGAUUAUCAAGUCUCUUGUGAAAUCCUAUGGCUUAACCAUAGAACUGCUUGGGAAACUGAUAAUCUAGAGUGAGGGAGAGGCAGAUGGAAUUGGUGGUGUAGGGGUAAAAUCCGUAGAGAUCACCAGGAAUACCCAUUGCGAAGGCGAUCUGCUGGAACUCAACUGACGCUAAUGCGUGAAA